UUAGGAAUUUUGGGCAAUGGCCGCAAGGCUGACCCAGCAACGCCGCGUGGGGGACGAAGGCUCUCGGGUCGUAAACCCCUUUUCCCAGGGACGAUGAUGACGGUACCUGGGGAAUAAGCCCCGGCUAACUACGUGCCAGCAGCCGCGGUAAUACGUAGGGGGCGAGCGUUGUCCGGAUUCAUUGGGCGUAAAGCGCGCGUAGGCGGCUUCGUAAGUCGGCCGUGAAAUCUCCAGGCUCAACUUGGAGGGGUCGGGCGAGACUGCGGGGCUCGAGGUGGGCAGAGGGCAGUGGAAUUCCGGGUGUAGUGGUGGAAUGCGUAGAGAUCCGGAGGAACACCAGUGGCGAAGGCGGCUGCCUGGGCCUGGCCUGACGCUGAGGCGCGAAAGCGUGGGGAGCGAUCCGG
rnacentral:rRNA from 1 species